GAUGAACGCUAGCUACAGGCUUAACACAUGCAAGUCGAGGGGUAACGAGAGGUAAGCUUGCUUUCCUUGUCGACGACCGGCGCACGGGUGAGUAACGCGUAUCCAACCUGCCCCCAACUAGGGAAUAACCUUGCGAAAGUAAGACUAAUACCCUAUAAUUUCCUCAGAUGUCAUCUGACGAGGAAUAAAGAUUUAUCGGUUGUGGAUGGGGAUGCGUCUGAUUAGCUUGUUGGCGGGGUAACGGCCCACCAAGGCAACGAUCAGUAGGGGUUCUGAGAGGAAGGUCCCCCACAUUGGAACUGAGACACGGUCCAAACUCCUACGGGAGGCAGCAGUGAGGAAUAUUGGUCAAUGGGCGGAAGCCUGAACCAGCCAAGUAGCGUGCAGGAUGACGGCCCUAUGGGUUGUAAACUGCUUUUAUACAGGAAUAAAGUUAGCCACGUGUGGUUAUUUGUAGGUACUGUAUGAAUAAGGACCGGCUAAUUCCGUGCCAGCCGCCGCUGUAAAAC
rnacentral:rRNA from 1 species